CCUUUCCAAUCAGGGCCAAAGCUUGAAAUCAGGAGACAUCAGAGGGACUGAACUGUCUGACUAUAGACGUCCUACUCCUCCAAGCAAAACUGGCUAUCACCGCUACCAGAUUUUUGUUUAUGAACAGCCUACCAAGCAGAAAAUUUAUCUGAGCCCAGAUGAAACUAAAUCUUAUGGCUCAUGGGAUAUUGAAAACUUUGCAGCAAAGUUCAGACUUGGAGAACCAGUGGCCUCAACACAGUUUGUUACAGAACACUACAAAGACUGAGUACAUCGACCAUUUUUCACUUUUCUCUUUUUGGUUUCUGUUUGCUUUUAUAGAUUUUUGCAGAAAAAGAAAAUAACUGUUUAAAGCCAAACUACAUUGUACUUACAUUAUUAGACUUGUGCCUGAAAACUGUACACUUAUGCAAUAAAGGUGAUGAGCAUGUC